UACGGGGGGAGCAAGCGUUGUUCGGAUUUACUGGGCGUAAAGGGCGCGUAGGCGGCCAGCACAAGUCAGUUGUGAAAUCUCCGAGCUUAACUCGGAAAGGUCAACUGAUACUGUGCGGCUAGAGUGCGGAAGGGGCAACUGGAAUUCUUGGUGUAGCGGUGAAAUUCGUAGAUAUCGGGAGGAACACCAGUGGCGAAGGCGGCGAUCUGGGAAGAUACUGACGCUGAGGUGCGAAAGCGUGGGGAGCAAACAGG
rnacentral:rRNA from 1 species